rnacentral:tRNA from 1 species
GAGGGUUCAGCUCAGUAGUAGAGCACGUGCUUAACAUGCACAAGGUCCUGGGUUCAAUCUCCAGUAACUUCA